rnacentral:rRNA from 1 species
AGUGAACGCUGGCGGUAGGCCUAACACAUGCAAGUCGAACGGCAGCACAGUAAGAGCUUGCUCUUACGGGUGGCGAGUGGCGGACGGGUGAGGAAUACAUCGGAAUCUACUUUUUCGUGGGGGAUAACGUAGGGAAACUUACGCUAAUACCGCAUACGACCUACGGGUGAAAGCAGGGGAUCUUCGGACCUUGCGCGAUUGAAUGAGCCGAUGUCGGAUUAGCUAGUUGGCGGGGUAAAGGCCCACCAAGGCCACGAUCCGUAGCUGGUCUGAGAGGAUGAUCAGCCACACGGGAACUGAGACACGGUCCAGACUCCUACGGGAGGCAGCAGUGGGGAAUAUUGGACAAUGGGCGCAAGCCUGAUCCAGCCAUACCGCGUGGGUGAAGAAGGCCUUCGGGUUGUAAAGCCCUGUUGUUGGGAAAGAAAAGCAGCAGGUUAAUACCCCGCUGUUCUGACGGUACCCAAAGAAUAAGCACCGGCUAACUUCGUG